UCCGUUGCUAAUUAAAAAAAUAAUUAUUUAAAUUUUAAUAUAAAACCAAAAUUACGAACACCGUUGAUUACAUUAACAAGAAUUAAAUCUCAACCAUUGAGUGUUUGCUGGCUUUGGUAAAUAUACACCAGUGCUCGAUCUCCCCCCACACCGAAAGCCAAACAAAGAUAAUGAAAUGAACAAAACCAAAAUCAAUGAUCUUCCACUCUUCCAGUCUCCUUCAUCCCUAACAACCUCGAUCCAUAGCUGUAGAAAAAUAACCCUCUCUUCAUCAAUGUGAUUUUCCUUUAUCCCAAACAUUUCAUCUUCUUCGCGUCUUCAGCACCCAUAACUUCUUUUCUUCAUCUUCUUCUCCUUCAUCUGAACAAAAUCGAACCACACCCAUCAUUAUCACCAUCGAACAUGCUGAUUUAAGGUAUCUCCUUGUAAACGGGUUGGGUGUUUAACGAUUUUCUUCAAUAGUUCAGGUAAGUAAUUAAGGGUUUUUGUUUUUGUUUGUUGCAAUUUAACUUGCACUAAAAAUUUUUCACCUAACUUUCCCAAUCCAGGUUUCUUUCUGUCCUGUAGAACAAUCUCGGUCACCUGUAACUCAAGAACACAGGACCAGGAUUUUGGGAGAAACAGGGAAGGUGAUACAUGGGAAAAGGUUGGCCAAAUUCGAGAUAAAUUUGAAUAUGACAGAGAGAAAAGAAUGAGGGAGAAGGGUAUGUUCAAUGCAUAUAAUUUACUCAAUGUGUGGUCACUUAUAUUUCUCGGGAUAAAUUGGUCAAGGGGUCAUUCUUGUAGGUAUAAGUAGCUGAUAUGCUCAAUAAUAACUUCAAGUUGAUUUCUUUUAUCAGAUUGUUUGUCUGUUAGGCAGUCCAUGAUUAAAUCUUUGUGUUUAGCAUGCUUGUUAUAAAUUGCAGAGCUGGAGUUGAGCAUCCAUAAGCUUGGUUUUGAUUGACUAACAAACAUAUUUAUGUAGACAAGCACCUAUAUGUAUUUACAUAUACACAUGUAUACAUAUAUGUUUUGUGUUUUCUUCUUCUGAA